rnacentral:lncRNA from 10 species
GUCAACAUCUUUCCCUGGCAUAUUAGAAACCGAAAUGAGAGGAAUAUGUUUCCCUUUGAAGAUGAUAUGAGGAUAUUUGGCUUAGGUACUCUCAAUAGGGAGGAAGCCAACAUAAAGCCAAUGGCAGAAACACAAAGUGGGUGCUGGCAAGACUUUUUUUUAGCAAGCAUACCUUAGGAAACUGAACUUCGCUUGAAACUGAAACUACCCUCCCAAAAUCAUCUCCAAGGCUUUCACCCUGUCACCCAGGCUGGCAGGCUGGAGUUCAGUGGCACAAUCAUGACUCACUGCAGCCUUGACCUCCAAGCUCAGGUGAUCCUCCUACUUCUGCCUCCUGGGUGGCUGGGGCUACAGAUUUGUGGCGUCAAGACCAGCUAAUUUUUGGGUGUUUUUGUUUGUUUGUUUGUUUGUUUUUUUGUAGAGAUGGGGUUUUGCCAUGUUGCCCAGGCUGGUCUUGAACUCCUGGGCUCAAGCAAUCCACCCACCUCAGCCUCGCAAAGUGCCGGGAUUACAGACAUGAACUACUGCACCUGGGCUAAUAGUAGUUAAUCUUGUAUCUCAGUAUUUAAGUUUUAGAUAUUCACAAGGGGAGUUUGACUCAGCCAAAUGAGGAAUGAAUGUGACCCAAAGAUGGAUAAAGGGUCUCUGUGUCUUUUGGGAAGUGUGUUUUCAGGUAUACAUGUGAGGAGGAAGAAUGAUUUUGCUGCCUUUUUUAUUUGGAAGUUAAGUACGGCUAACAGAGGUGUGUUUAGAUGCCAAGUUGACAAGGGCUGGACUGUGGUAGCUUUAUUAUCUGUCAGUUUUUCUAAACUAAACCUUUCAAGAAACAAGAUAAAAUUAUUCAGCAUUAAGCUGCUGCAGGUGACUUUGCAAUUUAAAUGAACAAAUAAAAUGA